GACGAACGCUGGCGGCGUGCUUAACACAUGCAAGUCGAACGGAAAGGCCCUGCUUUUGUGUGGUGCUCGCGUGGCGAACGGGUGAGUAACACGUGAGUAACCUUCCCUUGACUUUGGGAUAACUUCCGGUAACCGGGGCUAAUACCUGCUUGGAGCUCCUGCUGCAUGGUGGGGGUUGGAAAUUUUCGGCGGUUGGGGAUGGACUCGCGGCUUAUCAGCUUGUUGGUGGGGUAGUGGCUUACCAAGGCUUUGACGGGUAAUCGGCCUGAGAGGGUGACCGGCCACAUUGGUACUGAGAUACGGCCCAGACUCCUGCGGGAGUCAGUAGUGGGGAAUAUUGAACAAUGGGCGGAAGACUGAUGCAGCAACGCCGCGUGCGGGAUGACGGCCUUCGGGUUGUAAACCGCUUUCGCCUGUGACGAAGCGUGAGUGACGGUAAUGGGUAAAGAAGCACCGGCUAACUACGUG
rnacentral:rRNA from 1 species